rnacentral:lncRNA from 1 species
AGGAGAUAAAAAAGACGAAAAAGAAAAACCCAGGAUUUCAAAACUAAACCAAAAGAGUGCGAGGAAACUCCAAAUCGAAACAUAAAGGAGCCCUGGCUGAGGAUGAAGAAAACCUUAAUCUAGCGCAACUAGGAUCGGGCAUUCAGCCUUCAUCGCCAACACAGCCAUAUCAGGUACAUCCUCUACCCAAAAACGGACUUCCCUGAAAGUAGAUCUUGCUUUAGCUAGAAUAUGGGGCCACCCUAUUCGCAUUCCGAUCAACAAAUCUAAAAAUUAUUCUAUCAAACAUUCUAGCUCUUUACUUAAUUUUCAACAUAAACCCCGAUGGCAGAUCUAGCCCUACCCUUCUCAAUGAUACGUACAAUGGUAGAUCUUGAGUCCCCUUCAACCACUAAAUUCGAAAAACCCAUGUCAGUGGCAAAAUGCAGACCGUCGAGGCAAGCAAGCACUUCACCCACGAAAGGAUCAGAGACAAAAUUGUUCCUUACCAUUCCACUUCCCAAAACCUGGCCUUGGGCAUUCCUAACAACAAAACCAGAAUAAGACUGAUGGCUUUGGCCAUGAAAAGUAGUAUCAAAGUUAAGCUUGAGCAUCAGAUCCAUCGGGGGGUCCAGCUUUGCUUCAUCGUUAUUCUCGCCUUAGGAAAUUUCGCUCUUAGCUCCUUUAGUUCACAAACAAGGCUAAUUAUUUUGGCACUAACUUCUAGUGCAUGUUGUUCUUUCCUUUCCAUGACAUGUCUAUUCUGAGCGAACCACAAAGCCUAAAUUGUAAUGGCGAUGAUAGAACAGGCGUGGAUGUCACUUGAUCUUAUUAGGUAAGUAAACCAACUCCAGUAGUCCUUAUGGUUACCAGAUAGAGACCAUUCAAGUUUAACCCAUCUCUAAACUUCCUAUGUCAGACCACACUGUAUACUUAUAUGUAGUGGAGUCUUAGCUUCAAUAUUACAACGAGGACACAUAGGGGAAGAAGCAAGUCUUCUAUUGUAAAGUAUAGAUGCUGUAGGAAUAAAUUUGUGUAACAUUCUCCAAUUUGCUAUCUUAAUUUUGGGAGUGAUUUGGAGAGACCAAAUUUUUUAUAAAAGUCAAUAUUACCUUUGGUAGAGUCUGAAUAAUCGGGGGCAUAUGUUAACAUUUGGUAGCCACUCCUGACUGUAAAGUCCUGUAUGUUCUCCUUUCCAAACUGGCACAUUAUCAUCAACAUAUUCAGACAGUGGAGUACAGUAGAUGGCCGUGGCAAUCUCAAAGGGAAACAAUCUGGUAAUAAGAUCAGUCUUUCAGAUUCUGUUAUUUGCUUCUAUUAAAUCAGCCACCAGAAAUAUAUUCUCAUCGCCUGUAUUAAAACUAUUAAUAGCAGGGGUCCCUUUCAGUAGCCAGUUAUCCUCCCAGAUGUUAAUUAUACGGCCGAACUUGCACUCCACCCCAUUUCGUCUACCAAUAACUUCCUAGCUGCAAAAAUGCUCUUCCAGGUGAAAGAUGGGUAAGAACCAAGCCUUGCAUUCCAAAAAGACGUGUUUGGGAAGUACUUAACACUAUAAAUACGUGCAAGUAAAGAUGCGGGAUUAGUGAGCAAUCGCCAGCCUUGCUUAACUAAUAAGGCUACAGUGAAUAUGCUAAGAUCACGAAAUCCCAAUCCACCAAGAUUCUUUGGAGUACACAAAUCACUCCAUUUACACCAACGGAUCCCCCAUCUAGUUGAGCUCUUUUGCCACUAGAAAAGACACAUAAUUGAUUCCAACUCUAAGCAAAGAACCUUAGGAAAUAAAAAAAAACAUGACAUUGAAUAAGUCGGAAGCGCCUAUAGAACAACUCUAAUGAAGACUUCCUGACCUCCCUAAGAUAAUAAUCUGGCACCCCAACUUUGCACCUUAAAUCUCAUCCGCUCACACAAACUACGAAAAGUUUCUCUUUUAUUCCUACCAAACAUCAUCGAAAGCCCUAAAUAUUUCUCCAUAUGGUUAGAUUGUCUUACCGAAACCAUUCGUUAAACAAUGUCGAACCUCUUCAGUAACAUUGUUGUUGAAAUAGAUAAGAGAUUUAUCAAGGUUUACCUUCUGACUUGAAGCUCUUUCAUGAGACUAUAGGAUAUCUUGGACUAUUUGACCACCUUGGUUGGUAGCCUCCCCAAAAAGGAUGCUAUCAUCAACAAAAAGCAAAUGUGUGAUCAUAGGACUACCCCUGUAAACCUUUACCCCCUUCAAUCUCCUAUUAUUUCUAGCCGAAUUUAGUAAGGCUGAAAGUUCUUCCGUACAAAUAAGAAAAAGAUACGGGCUUAGAUGGUCACCCUUACACAAGCCUCUACCAGGAUAGAAACAAUCACUCUACCUGCCAUUAAAGAGUUACUGAGUAUGAGACUGAAGUAACACAGUUCAAUACCGGAUGGACCCAUCGAUCAGAAAAACCCAGCUUAGACAUCAUACCCCUUAUGAAAUCUUAUUCAACCCGAUCAUAAACCUUACUCAUAUUGAGUUUAAGGGCAAACGACCCAUUAUUUCCUCUGUUUCUUCCCUUUAAAGCAUGAAGGACCUCAUAUGCUAUAAGAGUGUUAUAAAAAAUGAGGCAUCCCAGAAAAUAUGCGCCUUGCAUUUCGUCUAUGCACCAUCUAGUGUAAGUUUGAGUCUAUUUGCUAUAGUUUUAGACAUAAUCUUAUACAAAACCGGGUAGAGGCUAAUCGGCCUGAACAUAGACAUUCUAUCUGCACUAGGAGUUUUAGGAAUUAACAUAAUUGAUGUAAAGUUUACCUCCGUAAAGUCCAUACUGUCAUUAAGAAUAAUGAGGCAAAAAUGAGAUACAUCCGUGCCAAUCACCUCCCAGAAAUGCUGAAAAAUAGUGCAUGAAAGCCAUCUGGGCCCGGAGCCUUUGUAGCUCCCAUUUCUUUAACCGCCAAUCCAAUCUCCUCAUCUUGGAAAUCCUUGCCUAGCUUAUCAUUAGUAGAAGCUAAAAUUUUAGGAGUUACAUAGUUAUAGAUCUCAUUCGCCCUUUUACUAUUCGAACUAGAGAAAAGGUCAAUGAAAUAACUAAUAGUUGUAUGCAUCAUAGCCAUAUUCUUAGUGUGUUCAAUCCUUAAAUAAUCCUUCAAGCAUCUAACCCUGUUCAAACGUUGACGAUAAGACGCAAAAUUGUGAAAAAAAUUUGUAUCCUGAUCCCCAAACUGUAACCAAUUCGAUCUGGCCCUUUGACUCCAAUAAAUUUCCUCUUUAUCAAUGGCUAUCCCAUAAUCCAAUUUAGCUUCAAUAAUAUCCACCAAUGUUGUAUCCGAUGGGUGAGCCGAAUAAAGAUCAUUAAGCCGUUGUUUGAGAAUUUUUAGCAGGUAAUUUUUAUCCUUUUUAACUCUAGCAACCCAGCUCUUUAAACCCUGUCCCAUAACUACAAGACGAUCAGGGACAUUAAGAUGUUUAUUAAUACUCUAAAGAGUAGCCACCUUCUUGCUACAUGAAUCCUCCAAUAACCAAUCAACCUCAAAUUUGAAAGCCAUAUAACCCUCCUCCUCCCGAAUCAGUCUAAAGGCAAUUGUAUUCAAUAAUAUCGGACAAUGAUCCGAGCAAGGACUAACCAAGUGAUCAAUACUGUAAAACAGGAACAGUUCAGACCAAGUUGGGUUUGCAACACCCCUAUCCAGUAUUUCCCUAACGUUAGUGGCAGCAAAAUUGCCAUGUUCCCACGUAAACCAUCGUCCAUGAAAACCCAGGUCAUAAAGAUCACGAUCUGCCAAAACUUCUCAAAAAUUGGCCAUCUGAGUUUCAUUCCUUGUAUUCCCACCUUUCUUCUCCUGAUUAGAGACAAUCUCAUUAAAGUCUCCCACGACAAUCCAAGGACCCUAAUAAGAAUUACACAAAUGGGAUAGUAACGCCCAAGAAUUCACCUGGUCUCUGCUCUUGGGAUCACCAUAAAAACCAGUAAAACACCAAUCAACAUUCACAUCCUUAGUAUAAAUUAAAACAUCGAUAUAUUUCUCAUUGAAACUUUUCAAAGAAACGAAAAUACCAUCUUUCCACCCCAACGACAAACCACUGUGGGAGCCACUUGCCGAAACAUCAAUCCUAUUUUGAUAAUUGAAUUUCUCCCGAAGUCUGUCCAUUCAAACCUCAUCCACUUUCGUCUCAAUAAGAAAAACAAUUUGGGGAUUAUAACCCUUCAGCAAAUGUUGAAUUCUAUGAACAGACCGUGGUUCCCCUGCCCACAAGCGUUUCAACUCAGGAUUUUCAUUGCGAUCGGCUAACCUGCCCUGCAGGUUCAACUGAGUGUUCAGAUUGGCAAAACAUGUUCUGCUUGCCAGAAGUCUCACCCAAAUCCAUAGAGAAAGCAACCGAUUAUACAUUUUUUGAUCUGGGUCGUUUCUUACCAUUAUUAAUCGAGAUUGGCCUAUUUUCCUCCAAACUUCCUUCAUUCAUUAAUUCCAAGUCAACUUGCAUUUCUUAUUGGGAAGAUUUGAUUUCCCAGCUAAAUUCAACCUAAAAAAUCUGCCAACAUCAACCAUAAAUUUAGGGGGAUUAGAAUCCCUAAAAUUUCUCCACUAAUUACUUCCAAAAAUUCCACAAUUUCUGCCCAAUUUCCCCAGGUUUGAGCAGCCAGAUGCUGUCGUCGCCGACCGUCCUUCGAGGCGGCGCUUUCAAGGAAAUGUCCCAUGCCAACAGCAAAUCCUUACUACCUUCAACCAUGCGAAUAGGACAAUAACUCUCACCGUGUCCUAAUCUUCCAUAUAGAAAACAAAAAGUAGUGAGCUUUUCAUAUUUGAAGGUGGCAUAGCAUUCCUUCAUUUUGGCAAAAAGAAGCUUUUUCCUCCUUUUCAACGAUUUACAGACAUUAAUUUCCUCCCGAACUCUCAUGAAAUUUUGAAAACCCGCAACAAUAGCAUUCGCAUCAUACUCUAAAAAGGUGCCAAUGAAGUUUCCAAACUGCCUCGCCAAAGAUUCCGAAUGCAUGCCCAAACUAAGAUUAUCGAUCUGGACCCAUAAAGCGGUAAAAAGAAGAGGCACCUCCAACGGUUCCUUAUUCGGUUUAAUCUUUGCUAAUAGUACAAAUGGUUGUUAAAAGUUCAAGAAAUGCCAUUAAUAACUUUAUCCCAAUCCACUUCGCAGUAGAAUCUAAAAAGAAACCGUUUCUCACCAAUAUUUGUGAUCAUCACCCCUCCUGUAGGAUGCCAAAGAUUAACCAUGACCGAUCUCAUAGACUGAAAAUUAACUAUGGUUGUCGUCAAGAAACAGUCUACCAGAAGGAAAUAAGACUGUUUAUUAUGUACUUCAGAUUCUUGGGCCAUCUCCCAUGCCACCGUCUCUCCCGUUUCUUCCUCAUCCUCCAAGCGAAGAUCUGCUAAUGCUGAUUCCAUAACGCAAGAACAAACUGAAAUAGAGCCAAAAUCGAAGGAUACUAAAAUAGAACUAAACAAAUGUCAUAUAAAAUACAUACACUCAAAUGUCACAGAAAGGACAUACUAUCUCUCCUUCGUAGUUUUAUUUUUUUUUAUUUUUUACGAUAAAUAUAAUCUUUGAAUUACUAUCAUUAAAGAUUAGCCAUUUUAUUAAAUUCAUAUCUUUUGACUGGAGGAUUUUGAUUUCACAUGGUUAAACAAACCAAUGAUGGUCACAUCGUUUCUUAUCUUUUUAUUUAUUUAAUCUAAUGACACAUCAUAAAAAAAAUCAUAAGUUAUCAAAUAUAAAUCCUAAUGAUAAUAAAAGUUCCGGGUGUACGCAAUAUCAAGGAAAUGUCUCUAAGUACAAUGUCAAGCACCAACAUCUAUAUUUGUAUAUAAAUGUAAACCAUCA